rnacentral:lncRNA from 1 species
GGCGCGGGGCGAUCGCUGCGGGUGCCGCUUGGGCGCCCCCCCCCAAAAAAGAGGGGGGGCUCCGGGGGGGCAGGGGGAGUCCGGGAUGGGGACGGGGACGGUGCCGCGGGGGAUAAAGCAGGGCCUGGGGGCACCCGGUGCGGUGCCGGGGGGCUCCGGUACCCACCGCCCCCCCCAGCCCCUAGGUUCCCCCCGCUGCUGUCCGGCCCCGGGUGGGCGCACGGAGCCAGGGGCAUGCGACCCCCCCCGGGGCGCACCCCCAGCCCCGAGGAGUGCCCGCGGACACCGCCAAACGGCGCUGACGGUGCGCGCCCGGGGCUCGCCGCGUGCCGGUGCCGCCGGUCCCCGCUGGGGCUGGAACCGGGCUCGGGCCGUGCCCCCGGUACGAGCGGCGCCCCCGGCUCGAGCCCCCCGCCCCCGGCUCCCCCCCUGGAAGCUCCUGCUUUGGGAGAGCCGCGGGCACGCGCCCUUGGCACGGCACGGAACGGCACGGGGAGCGCACCGGUUGCGCUGCUUUGGGACCCUGCUUUGGGACCCUGCUGCCCCCAGGGACUGGCACCAAGGAGCGGGGAGGGGAUGGGCGGGGGUCCGGGCGCUUUCCUGGGGCACCCGGAGGUGCUGGGGGGGUGGAUGUGGGGUGGGGGAGCCACUGGGCUGUGCUACGAGGGGCGCAGGUAACGUGGGCAGAACCCGUGCCUGGCACUGGCUGGUGCCUGCUGGAGCUCAUCCGAAAUUCCCUGACCCCAGGAAGGGGCUUGUGCCAGUGGGAGAGCAAGCAGGGGGUGGGGGCACCUCGGGGAGAGCCCCCCUGGAACAACCCCUCUCUUGUUUGAAAGCAGAACUGGUGCUGCGGGCAGGUGGGAGGCAGGACAGGCUCCGCACCAGGGGGAUGUGGCACCAAGCGGGAGGGAAAGUGAGGUUCAGGAGGGGGCAGGGGGCUGGCGGGGUGAGGAUGAGGAUGCUGCAACUGCUCCUGCUCCUGCUCCUGCUCCUGCUCCUGCUCCUGCUCCUGCCCCUGCCCCUGCCCCUGCCCCUGCUCCUGCUCCUGCUCCUGCUCCUGCUCGCUCUGUGGUUAUUUGCAGUUUGCCAGAGGCCCCCUGGGCACAGAACAUUUGGCCAGCAAAAGCGGCGGCAGCAGCGGGUGCCCCGAGGAGCAGAGAGCUUCUGGAGGAGUGGUUUUCCCAGGGAGCAGCGUGGCUGGAGGCGGCUGUCCUGUCCCUCGGGACCCCGAGACCCCCAGCGAUGGAGCUGGAGGAGAAGCCGUUCGUGGGGGACCCCCAGGGUGAGGGGCGCAGGGGAGUCCCUGGACCCCACGGCGCAGGAAAGGGCUGGGCUGCUGUGAAGCACGAGGUUGUGGUGAAAACGGAGCCGGAGGAUGAGCCGGCCAUCGGGUACCCCCAGCACCCAGGGGCGAGGGCCACCACCCCUGGCAUCCCCAGUGUCCCCAGCGUCCCCAGUGUCCCCAGCACCAGUAAGUGACGCGGAGCAGGGCGCUGCACCGAGGGGCUGUGCUGGGAUGGGGCAUGCCCCGUGCGCUUUGGGAACCGGGAACUGCCUCCUGCAGGAAGAGCAGCAGUUCCCUUCCCUGCAUAACAAGCAUUUAAUAACAAAUCCUUAAUAAUAUUUAACUUAGUAAAAUGCAAUCAUUUAAUAUCGAUGGGUGCUUUGGAGCCCCAGUGGCCUGUGGCUGCUGCAGCCCCGUGGUUCCCCGGGGCCCCGGCUGCAGGAGGCACCGAGCUCGAUGCUCCCCAACGGCACCGGGUGGCACCGGCAGGGCCCUGUCCGUCCCCAGAGCAGGACGUGUGGGCUGGGUCCUUCCUUCCACAGGCAUCAAAACCGAGCUCGACAUUAAAACCGAGCCUGAGGACGACUCCUACGGUGACUGCUGCCCACGGGAGGAGGAGGAGCCCCCCGACCCCGCUGCCUGUGAGUGGGGCUGGGUGCAUGGGGGUGUCCGGGGCCGUGCCCAGGGUGCGCCAAGCGCAGUCCCCGGAGCUCUGCCCUCUGCCCCCACAGGCGAUGCCAAACCCGAAGUGAUUGUGAAGGUGGAGCCGGAGGAGGAGGCGUACAUCGGGUGUCCCCAGGGCCCGGGUGACCCGGGAGCUGCAGGUGAGCACUGCAGGGCCAGGACCCGGCUCGUCUCCGCGUCUGGGUGCGAGUGUGAUCAAACUUUGAGUGUGAUCUCUGCACAGAGGCUUUAGAGGAGAGUUUGGAUGUGUGUCUGGUCGUGGGGACAGGUUUGAGGGAGGUGUUUUACCCGGCUGCGGUGCCGAGGCUGCGAUGGCUUCGCCCAGCUCCUCCUGCACCAAGGGGCUGCACUAAUCCAGUGCCACAGCCGAGGCUCUGCAGCCCUGGGGCAGCCUCGGUGGCACCGGGCUGUGGGUGCCUGGGGCUGUCCCUGUGCCGAGCCUGUGCCAAGGCGCAGCUCCGUGCUGGGUUCCCAGGAGCGCAGGGCCACGCACAGCUCCUGGCUCUGCGUCGUGCCAGCGAUUCCCUGGCUCUCUCCUCUUGGUAGGUGGUGAAGGCAAAGGUGAGAAGCGUCCCAAGGAGGAGCCGGAGGAUGUGAAACCAGAGCUGGCUCUGCUGGAGAAAAGCCCAGAGGCUGCUCCCCGUGGCAGCCAGUGGAUGGUGCAGCCGGCGCGGGGUGGCACCGCCGAGCCCCGGGGGCUCUGCGUGGGGACGGGCACGGCUCCCAUCCCCCCAGCGAGCACCGCCGGGCACAAAGUCACAUCGGCACCCGGCACCGAGCCGGCCCGGCGGCCCCGCAGCCACGGCACCGAGCGGCCCUUCGCCUGCAGCGAGUGCGGGAAGAGCUUCCAGCACCGGGGGAACCUCAUCACCCACCUGCGCGUGCACACCGGGGAGAAGCCCUUCGCCUGCACCGUCUGCGGGAAGAGCUUCAGCCAGAAGGGCGACCUGAUGCGGCACCAGCGCAUCCACACGGGCGAGAAGCCCUUCGAGUGCACCGUCUGCGGGAAGAGCUUCUGCUCCAAGCAGACCUUCAUCCUGCACCAGCGCAUCCACACGGGGGAGAAGC